rnacentral:tRNA from 1 species
CCUGGUGGCUCAGAUGGUAAAGAACCUGCCUGCAAUGCAGGGGACCCAGGUUCAAUCCCUGGGUCAGGA